GGAGACGUAUCGAAGCGGUCAUAACGGGGCUGACUCGAAAUCAGUUUGCCGGGUUUCCGGCACGUGGGUUCGAAUCCCACCGUCUCCGCCA
rnacentral:tRNA from 1 species